rnacentral:rRNA from 1 species
GGUGAACGCUGGCGGCGCGUCUAAUACAUGCAAGUCGAGCGAGGCUUCGAGCCGAGCGGCAGACGGCUGAGUAACACGGUGGUAACUACCUCAAACUCAGGGCUAACGCCGAGAAAUCGGUGCUAAUACCGGAUGGUCCCGUAAGGGUAAAGUUUUUACGGUUUGAGAGGUGUCUGCGUCCUAUCAGGUAGUUGGUGAGGUAACGGCUCACCAAGCCUAUGACGGGUAACUGGUCUGAGAGGAUGACCAGUCAGAGGGAAACUGAGACACGGUUCCCACUUCUACGGAAGGCAGCAGUAAAGUAUCUUCCACAAUGGACGAAAGUCUGAUGGAGCGACAGCGCGUGCAGGAUGAAGGCCCUUGGGUCGUAAACUGCUUUUUUGGGGGAAAAAUUCUGAUUGUACCCUAAGAAUAAGCACCGGCAAAUCACGUG